rnacentral:rRNA from 1 species
UACGUAGGGGGCAAGCGUUGUCCGGAUUUAUUGGGCGUAAAGAGCUCGUAGGUGGUUCGGUAAGUCGGAUGUGAAAUCUCCAGGCCCAACCUGGAGGGGUCAUUCGAUACUGCCGUGACUAGAGGUCGGUAGGGGAGUGUGGAAUUCCUGGUGGAGCGGUGAAAUGCGCAGAUAUCAGGAGGAACACCCGUAGCGAAGGCGGCACUCUGGGCCGAUACUGACACUGAGGAGCGAAAGCGUGGGGAGCGAACAGG